rnacentral:sRNA from 1 species
AUGUAAACGCGUGCACGGCGGUUCCCCCGUGCCGUUCAUGCCCAUCCAGAGACUACUCGCCAUGUCUGGUUGGCC